AAAGAAACCAACCGGGAUUGCCCCAGUAACGGCGAGUGAAGCGGCAAGAGCUCAAAUUUGAAAUCUGGCCCCCCCGGGGUCCGAGUUGUAAUUUGCAGAGGAUGCUUCGGGUGCGGCCCCCGUCUAAGUGCCCUGGAACGGGCCGUCAGAGAGGGUGAGAAUCCCGUCCUGGGCGGGGAGUCCGCGCCCGUGUGAAGCUCCUUCGACGAGUCGAGUUGUUUGGGAAUGCAGCUCUAAAUGGGUGGUAAAUUUCAUCUAAAGCUAAAUACCGGCCGGAGACCGAUAGCGCACAAGUAGAGUGAUCGAAAGAUGAAAAGCACUUUGAAAAGAGAGUUAAACAGCACGUGAAAUUGUUGAAAGGGAAGCGCUUGCGACCAGACUCGCCCCCGGGGUUCAGCCGGCACUCGUGCCGGUGCACUCCCCGUCGGGCGGGCCAGCGUCGGUUUGGGCGGCCGGUCAAAGGCCUCCGGAAUGUGUCGCCCUCCGGGGCGUCUUAUAGCCGGGGGUGCAAUGCGGCCAGCCCGGACCGAGGAACGCGCUUCGGCACGGACGCUGGCGUAAUGGUCGUAAACGAC
rnacentral:rRNA from 1 species